CCCUUAGAUGUUCUGGGCCGCACGCGCGCUACACUGACUGGUGCAACAAGUGUCGCUCCUUGGCCGAUAGGCCUGGGCAAUCUUUGAACGCCAGUCGUGAUGGGGAUAGAUUCUUGCAAUUUUUGAUCUUCAACGAGGAAUUCCUAGUAAACGCAAGUCAUCAACUUGCAUUGAUUACGUCCCUGCCCUUUGUACACACCGCCCGUCGCACCUACCGAUUGAAUGGUCCGGUGAAGCCUCCGGAUUGGCGCGCACCUCGGUGCCGCCGAGAAGUUGGCUAAACCUUACCAUUUAGAGGAAGGUGAAGUCGUAACA
rnacentral:rRNA from 1 species